GACGAACGCUGGCGGCGUGCCUAAUACAUGCAAGUUGAGCGCUGAAGGUUGGUACUUGUACCAACUGGAUGAGCAGCGAACGGGUGAGUAACGCGUGGUGAAUCUGCCUUUGAGCGGGGGACAACAUUUGGAAACGAAUGCUAAUACCGCAUAAAAACUUUAAACACAAGUUUUAAGUUUGAAAGAUGCAAUUGCAUCACUCAAAGAUGAUCCCGCGUUGUAUUAGCUAGUUGGUGAGGUAAAGGCUCACCAAGGCGAUGAUACAUAGCCGACCUGAGAGGGUGAUCGGCCACAUUGGGACUGAGACACGGCCCAAACUCCUACGGGAGGCAGCAGUAGGGAAUCUUCGGCAAUGGACGAAAGUCUGACCGAGCAACGCCGCGUGAGUGAAGAAGGGUUUCGGAUCGUAAAACUCUGUUGGUAGAGAAGAACGUUGGUGAGAGUGGAAAGCUCAUCAAGUGACGGUAACUACCCAGAAAGGGACGGCUAACUACGUG
rnacentral:rRNA from 1 species